UUUGCCCACACAUGGGAUCAAUAGGAUACCAUAACGAUGAAGGUCGUAAUAGAAUACGAAAGAGUAUUUACCGAAUUAAUAUAUUUAUAUAUUGAUUACCCUUUGAACUUAAGCAUAUCAUUAAAAGGAGGAAAAGAAACUAACUAGGAUUUCUUUAGUAGCGGCGAGUGAACAAGAAUCAACCCUUGAUUGUAAUCCUUAACUGGAGAUGUAAAUCAUUUAUUCUAUUAUUUAUAUCAUAGAGAAUUUUAUAUUCGUUACUUGAUAGAAUAGAAUAAUUUCUUUGAGUAGGGCUGCUUGGUAGUGCAGUUUGAAUACAGGUAGAAUGAGAUAUCUAAGGUUAAAUAUAAUGGUAUACCGAUAGCAAAUAAGUACUGCGAAGGAAUUGGAAAAUGG
rnacentral:rRNA from 1 species